ACGUCGCGAGAAGUCCACUGAACCUUAUCAUUUAGAGGAAGGAGAAGUCGUAACAAGGUUUCCGUAGGUGAACCUGCGGAAGGAUCAUUGUCGAUGCCACGCAGAAAAAGAGAGACCCGCGAACCGGUUGGAACGAACCCCCGGGCGGGGGAGGGCGACGGCGCGCCCGAGUCCUCCCCCGACGAACAAACCCCGGCGCCUCAGGCGCCAAGGAAACCGAACAGAGCGGAGGCGCGCUCGCUGGGGGCCCGGGAACGGCGCCGAUCAAACCCAGCGUCGCGCCUCGAGCCGCUUGCAUCCGAAAUGACUCUCGGCAACGGAUAUCUCGGCUCUCGCAUCGAUGAAGAACGUAGCGAAAUGCGAUACUUGGUGUGAAUUGCAGAAUCCCGUGAACCAUCGAGUCUUUGAACGCAAGUUGCGCCCGAAGCCAAUAGGCCGAGGGCACGUCUGCCUGGGCGUCACACAACGUCGCCGGCGCCCGCUCCCGCGGGCCCGGCGGAAGAUGGCCCCCCGGGAGCCUCGCCUCCCGGCCGGCCGAAAAAGGGGCCCCCACGUGACGAGCGCCACGAUCCACGGUGGUUGAGCGGAGAGCCGCUCGAGGCCAGGACGUGCGCGGGUCGUCCCACGGCAAGGGCCGCGGCCGCAGAGGCCCCCCACCCGUACGCGACCCCAGGUCAGGCGGGGCUACCCGCUGAGUUUAAGCAUAUCAAUAAGGGAGGAAAAG
rnacentral:rRNA from 1 species